AUAUGACCCAGCAAGAUGGUCCUGCAGCACUAAAACAGGCAACCCUGGAAACUCUUGGUUAUGUUUGUGAGGGGAUAUCUGAUCAGGACCUUGUGCAAGACGAAGUAAAUGCUAUUCUGACUGCAGUUGUCCAAGGCAUGACCCUUAUACAGCAUGGUCCUGAAAUCCGCCUUGCAGCAACAAGGGCUUUAUAUGAUGCCUUGAUUUUUGCACAGACCAACUUUGAAAAUGAAAU
rnacentral:misc_RNA from 1 species